rnacentral:rRNA from 1 species
UACGUAGGGGGGCUAGCGUUGUCCGGAUUUAUUGGGCGUAAAGAGCGUGUAGGCGGCCAGGUAGGUCCGGUGUGAAAACUCGAGGCUUAACCUCGAGAUGUCGUCGGAAACCAUCUGGCUAGAGUCCGGAAGAGGAAAGUGGAAUUCCUGGUGUAGCGGUGAAAUGCGCAGAUAUCAGGAAGAACACCAAUGGCGAAAGCAGCUUUCUGGGACGGUACUGACGCUGAGACGCGAAAGCGUGGGGAGCGAACAGG